rnacentral:rRNA from 1 species
UACGUAGGGACCAAGCGUUGUUCGGAUUUACUGGGCGUAAAGGGCGCGUAGGCGGCGUGACAAGUCACUUGUGAAAUCUCUGAGCUUAACUCAGAACGGCCAAGUGAAACUGUUGUGCUAGAGUGCAGAAGGGGCAAUCGGAAUUCUUGGUGUAGCGGUGAAAUGCGUAGAUAUCAAGAGGAACACCUGAGGUGAAGACGGGGUUGCUGGGCUGACACUGACGCUGAGGCGCGAAAGCCAGGGGAGCAAACGGG